UCUUCAGCACUUCCUUCAUUCACCCACCCAUUCACCAAGCAUCCAUACCUGCCAAGGUGACAACGGCUGUGAGGGAUAUUAGCAAGCAUUGCCCUGCAUGGCCCUACUCUCCAAAGCAUCUUGCCCAGCCACGACUGCACAUGUCCUAUCAAAGUCAGGAAGCUCCUCGCUCUAGUGACCCAGAUGACUUACAGGAGCAAAGGUGCUUUGUAGGGAGGUCAGAUGGCAGUGCGACAGAACAGAUUAAGAUGAAAGCCAAAGCAGGAGGGUGGCUUUGCCUUCAUCCUGGGAAACAGAAGCACCACUAACGACAUCAGUGAGCAGCUGACCGCGUCCUAGUCAUGAAACAUCCAGUAACAGUCAACAUUUGCUAAACAGCUUAUCUUUGGAUCUCAGAAAGAAGGUAAAACAAUCCCUCUGGAUCGAAAGAAACCACCUGCGCCUUGUUAGCUGCUGGAUGCCAAGAGUGAGGGGGAACCCUGAGCCUGGGCUCUUCCCGGACAGUGGCGCGUUCUUCAGGACUCAUUUGCCACCCUUGAAAAGUAACUCGGACGCCCCAGGUCGCUAGCCACAGAGGCUGCCUGAUGUCACCUGCCCGGCCCUGCCAGGAGCUGCCUGCAGGACUUGGGGGACCCUCCCCCCGGCUUCCACCUGCCCUCUUGGAGGACCCUUCUCCGUCCCCACUGGCAAGGAAACAGAGUAGCGUUAUCUUCGGCACUGGGUCAUUUGCAAGACAGAAACGCUGGCGAGAUGGGUCCCCAGCCCAGCCACCUGCCCGAGUCCGCGUCGCCACAGUCCAGUGGAGAUCGCCUCGAAGGCUCCCCGAGAGCCAGGAGGUGUGAACAAUGAACUUGUCUGGGUUGGAUCUCCCACACCCAACCACACAGCCCGGGUCCCGCCGUGGGAAGUUAGGAACUGUGCCCGCGGGGUCGGUUCCACGCGCGAAAGGGCCCACGCGCGUCCGCGGGCCGCGCCCCUCGCGUCGCCUGCCCGGGAGCUGGCC